CUCUUAAUCCCUCCCAAGAAUUUAUUGGGUCUUCCUUCCUUAUGAUCGGAAGGAGGUCUUUUGUAAGCAACAUAUGUAUGGGUCUUGCUGUCUUACCACUUAGCCAUCCUGUGUCUUUUGAUUGGAGCAUUUAACCCAUUUACAUUUAAGGCCCUUGCUGUUCAUCACUUUGAAUAUUUGGUGCCAGUCCCUUCCACCUUGAAAAGUU